UUUUCACUGGAUUCCUUUUUAUAUUUUAUUUAGAUUAAGUUCUGCUCAGCAGGGUGAUUUCUUAAUUAGAGCUGCCCAGCCAAGCAGACCUCCAGCUCAAACCCCUGUGCUGCCUUCUAAGGUUUCAUGAGGGACCUUGUCCUGCCUUAUUUCCUGAGUUCUAAUAUUUGAAUAGUAUGCAGUGGAUUUCAAUGGGAGGAAAAGACAUGUAAUUUAAUCAUUGUUAUUAGAUUUUGCCUGUGGAUGGGGAGAGGAGGGGGAAGCAGGAGGGACAUGGGUCCUUUCUUUGUUAAUUUUCUUUUUCUUUUUCUCUACCUUUCUUCCAGUGGUCAAAGGAAGAGGAGGAUCAAUGGCCUUUUUUCCUCCCCCCAACCUUUUUUUUUUUUUUUUUUUUUAAACAAAGAAGCAAAGUGAGAACAUUAAGCCCGAAAGAGAACUGUGUUCAUUGCAGGACUUUUUGAGGUCUGGUUAAGCCAUUUAUAUAAAGAAAUUACACAGUUCCUCUUUGGUAACCUCAAUCCUGAAAGUUAGUGUGACAGGCCUACAGCUUUUUGUUCUCUUCAUCACUCCAGAAGUUGCAGACUGCGCUCAGCAAGACCUCACAACAUGGAGGAAAAUUAAAGAGAUAAGUGGUCCAUGGAGUAUCCCCUUACCCCACCAUAAAUUGGCAUAAUUUUGUGCACAAUCCAGGGAGAAGAAAAAGAAGACCAGAAGCUUGCAAACCAUUCGAGAGAAGGAAGGGAGCUUUGUCAUGUUGCCAUCUGAGGGACCAUUUCAGUAGAGCCUUUUAAGACACAUGUUUUGGAAUACAGUCAAAUGCGUGCUGCUGUAUGACCAGCCUAUUUGAUUAUGCCUCCAAAUCCUACAGAAGUAUAACAACCAUAGAACAGACAAACACCAACAGCAUCAACAACAGAGAAACUCAGUCCAGGAGGAUAUGAAACCCUUUGUAAUAAAGAAAGCAACAUCCAUGAACAUUUGUGUACAUGUGUCUUUAUGGUAGAAUGAUUUCUAUUCCUUUGAGUAUAUACCCAGCAAUGGGAUUGUUG
rnacentral:lncRNA from 1 species